ACUCCCAAUCUAAUGUGAAUUAUUUUGUAUUUAUGCAGAUCUAAGUGAAUUGUGAUAUAAAAUAAUGUUGAUUGCAUGGAGUGAAAAUGAGGGCCCCCUCUUUCCCACUGUGUGUGUUUCUGUGUUUGGGAAGACCAUAUUUAACUUAGCAUAUUCCUGUGAUACUGCUUAGAGAUUGCCUGUAGUGCUAAUUAGACGAACUACUUGGAGUUAUAAUUUCCAAAUGAGCUCUGUUAUUGCAUUUUGAGGAAAUAAGUUCUCCUUCCUAUAGCUUUUACUGGAGAAAAGGAGGUCAGAUUGUAAUUGAAUUGCACACUCCUGUUUUAUUUACACAUGAACUUAAUUCACUCUGGCAUAUUUAACAUGAAAAAAAAAACCCUUGAGAGGAAAAUUCCCUGCUUCUUCUACACUCAUGUUUUUGGUUGAAAAUAGGUCUAAUUUUAUCAGAUGAUCUGCGAGCCAAGUGGCCAUGUUUAAAUGAAUUAUCUUCACCUCUGUAGUGCAUUGUUUCCCCACUUCAUGACUUCCAGAUUUGGCUGUUUAUUUCGCAGUGGUUUUAUAUGAGCUCCAUUGUUUUGGUCCAGAGCUUUCUCCAAAAUGUGUCAUUCAUGUCUCCAAAGCAAAUUGGAUGGAAAUUGGACACGGGGCAGCUUCCCAUUCAUUUCAGCGGUGCUGGUCUAGGAGAAGUCGGAACUAUGUGUGUGUGUAUGGCUCUUUCAACUAAUGAAAGUAGGCCUUAUGGUGGUGUAUUCUUGGUAAAUCCACACUGAAGUGCUUGUAUGAGGAUUUUGAGAAUUAUGGAUUAUUCUCUGUUAACAUCUGUACUUUCCAUGUUAAUUUCUGGCCUCUUUAUGAGCGUAGAAAUGAACUGAAGUGUUUGUUCAGUGUGCACACCUUCCAUUUAUGUCCUUUUUAAAAAAAAUAUUAGGGGGAACUAUGGGGCAAGAAUUUGCUUGCCUGGGUUUAUUUUUAUUUUAUUUUUUUGAGCUUAUGUUAUGUGUGUGUCAUUACAUGUACCUUGAAUUCCUAAGGCAGCUGGAACAGUUCAAGAGAGUAGUGUUCAUAGACUGCCAUCUGCAACCUGCCUGGCAGUCUAAGCCAAGGCAUGUUUACUCAGGGGUAGGUUCUAUGAAUUAAAUGGAAUCCUUUUGUAUGUUUACCAGGAAGUAAGUUCCACUCUCUUGAAUGGGAUGCAUCCCCAAGCAAGUGUGUUUAGGAUCAUAGUCUUAUUCUUAUUUAUACUAGAGUGAGUUUGAGGGCUGCAAUAUUACAUUAUUAGAGUUUUCUUUCUCCUUUUUAGUUCACAUAUUUUGAAGUGGCAUUUAUGUGCUGUAUAAAAUUGAACAGAAUUAGUGCACCUUUACUUCAGCAGCUUGCACAUGUUUGCAUUUAAAAUAUAUUAUUAAUCUCUGUGUGUAAACAUUAAUGCAAACAUUUUAAAAAUUUCAGUAGGCUUUGCAGGCUCAAACUAUGUAGCACUGAUGUGUAUGGAAUUUUGCUUGUCAUAUUUUUAGCAACCAUUGUGUUGAAGGAACCAUAAGGAAUUUCCAGUAGAUUUUGGAGAAUGCUUAAACACCUAGCAUAGACAACUGUUGUUGGGCUAGAUGCAGGGAAUAAAAAAUUCCAAUAGUUAAAUACCUGAGCUAUAAUGAAUUGCCUGAUAAAGAGCUAUGUGUAACAUGAAAGCAUAAUUACACAUCAAGGUUGGUUGAAUGAAAUAUGCGACCGCCCUUCUUCAUUCUGUAAUUCACGUUUUCACCAAUACAGUUUUAAAAUUGUAAAUCAGAACUGUGAUUACUGGCAUUUCUUGUAAUACUUGAACUAUUCCUCACCACCACUCUUAGUGGUGUUAAGCUAGGAGUGUUACGUUCUUAGGAAUUCCAUUUUGUGGCUAUAGCGUGCAAAUCCAUAGCCUUUGUUUUUUGGAUUUAAACCCAAGUGGUGUAAUUGAAGGCAUAAAGUUUGCCUUCUGCUUAUGUAAAGAUCUAUCUCUCUGCUGUGUGUGUGUGCGCGUAUGAAAGAGAGACAAAAGCCUUUGUGUGGUACAAAUCUUGAUACAUUACCCAAAUGUGUUAAAAGGCACAGAAUAUUUUGUCCUUAAUAGGUAGCAUCCAGUUAAGUCACACUCUUAGAUGCAUUGAAAUGAAUGCUUGUGUUUAAGUUAGCCGUGACUAACUGAAUUCCAUUCCAGUGGGUCUACUCAGUGUAGGAUUUAGUAGCAUACUACCCAGUGGUUUUUUUUAAAAUAGUUUAUUGGCUUGGAAAAAGAAAAUAAGGCGGUCACGUGACAGAAACGCAGCAUAUUUUGAUUGGGAAAGGUCCGUAGCUUAGCAGCAUGUACCUUGCAUGCAGAUAGUCCUUUAUUCAACCCCUAGUGUCUCAAAGUAGGAGAAGGUCUCCUGUAUGAAUCCCUACAGAAGCCGCUGCCGGGCAGUAGAUGAUGUUGAAGUAAAUGGAGCAGUGCUCUGACUUUGUCGAAAACAGCAUCCUUUGUUCUUUAUGAUGAUGAUAAUAAUAUUUUCCACAUGGAAUUUUAUCUAAAGAUGGGAAGAUAUCAAAGGCAUGGAGAUGGGUAGAGGAAAGGAAGAAAAAGGAAUGGAGAAGCAGAAUAAGGUCUAAAGCCAGCUAGAAUCAUGAUGAGAGGAUGAUAAAUUCAUGGUUUUAGGUAACUGAGCGUAUGAUACAUAUAUACAGGGCUUUUUCCAGCCGGAACUUGCCUGAGCUCAGUUCCAGUCCCUCUCAGGUGGGUGACAUUGCCAUUAUAAGAGAAAAAUAAGAGGUGCCCAUUAUGAGUUUGGCCAUUGCUUCUUCUAGAAAGAUAGCACUGCACACACAGUAUAUUUGUUUCACAUAAGUUAUAGCGUUCUUGAGGUGCUACAUAAUACCACAUUGAAUAACUAUUUAGUUAUCUUAAUCCUUAGCACGCCCCUUCAAAGAAGGAUGUGACACAAAUAAUGAUGUGUAUGAAAGGUUUUAAAUGUUUUGUGACAUAGAGCAUUGUCUGUGGGUGCCUGCUAUGUAGACCCAUCUCAGAAUAGAAGCCGGCUUGGGUCCAGCCAGUAUGGGGAUGAGGGUUCUGUAUCUGAACUCUCUGAAGCCCUUGAAAAAGGGGGCAGGAGCAUAAAUAAAUAAGGAAUCCAAACAAAUAAAGAACCCACGGCAAAUUGUGACCCUAUUACCCAAUUGUAUCCAUUUGUGUCUAUAGUGAUCUUGAAUCACUUAAGAGCCAGUUCUACAAAACACAUAAACAUCACAGCAUUAUUAGGGAUGUGAUUUGCCGAAAGAAAUGUGGGGAUGGACUCUUAUUUAAAAGCAUUUUAUUUGAAAGUGUAGGGAAGCUCACGCUGUAGUACUUGAUUAUCAAGUGAUGAACAUACAUUGCAGUCGUCAAGUGGUGUACAUCAAGUGGUAAACAUGGUGCAUUUUAGCAGUAGGCAGCAGCCAGCUGUACAUGCAGGCUUGUGCUCUCAGGAAUGUUUCGGCCUUAAAGACUGGCAUUGCUUCUGUUACAUCUCUCUCUUGCAUAUUUAAGUGCAUCUCUCUUGACAACAUUUCAAGAUUGCCUAUUUAAUUCACACAUUGUGGGCUUUCUCGCUGAGCACAGUGGAAGUCAAACAGUAGCUUGUUUGUCAUGCCAUGAAUGUUUUCUGUGAUUCUAAAAAUGCCUUCUCUUUCAUAUGCAAGACAGUUUGAGGAGGAAAAGGGAAUAGAACCUGUAAUUUAUUUUUUGGCAUCCUGAGGGCAUACUUUCUGUGACUCUGUAUGGCUAGAGGCAACUUUGGAAAUCAGAUGGGUAAAUCAGCAUUCUGGAUCUGUUUCUACAUUGGCAUUCUUGGCUUCUGAAUUUCAGGUUGGUGAGUGAUCUCAGCAACACCUGAACAUGUACAGUUUUGUAAUAUGCUUACUCUCAAGCACUUGGGCUCCUUCGGUAAUCGCCUCAAUGUGAAUUGCUGCUCACGUCUGUCUGUUGAUCUAUAGUUCUUUCAGUGCCUCAUUUUUGAAGAAUAAUAAAAUACUUUGGUGUUCCAAGAAUAGUAGCUUACAGCUGUUUUAUUCACAAUUUAGUAGCAAUAUGUAGAAGAGGUGCUUUUAUAAAACAAGCAAAGAUCUCGAAUCAAAUAAAAAGGCGUAAAAGUGAGGUAAGAGAAUAUUUCUAUGGGACAUAAUGAUUAAACAUGUAAUGGAAGCUGAAGCAAAAUAAAAAUAAAAAUAAAUGGAUGAAAGGAGAGAGCAAAUAGAAGUUGCUUUACCUUUCCCACUUGUCCUGCUCAACCAUGCUCAGUGCUGCUCCACCCCACCCCAUUAUUACCAUACUUCAGUGGCUCCCAAUUAGCUAAAUAUUGCAGACUCUGCUUUUUCAGAAGCCAAGCGAUGGACCCCCUACUUUAGAAUUUUUUUGAUAUCUCCAUUGUAGUUUUGGUUUUGUGAAUGGUGCCACGGACCGCCUGGGUGGCUCACAUGGACCGCCUGGGGUCUACGGACCACCAGUUAGGAACCAAUGCUCUAUUUCUGUCCUUCUGCUUGGGAAAAAGAAUCACAUUCACUUUUUGAUAAACCCUCACUGGAGAUGCCUUCUCCUACUCCAUUGGAACGGAUAAGGAAAGGGACUCAGAAGGAAGAGAGUUUACCUUGCCCACCCCUAGUUGUUUCUGUGGUGGUGGUGGGGGGCUCUGAGCAGGCUCAUCAAUCCUGUGGUCCAAAAUUGAUUGUGGCAGCUUGAUCUGGGCAUCAGUUUUCUCUAAAGCCCAAUAAGGUCUUGCUUGCACAGUUGUUUGCAGAGCAAGAGGAAGCUAAGCCUGCUCAGAGCCUGCCUGUCCCUGAAAGGAUCAGUGUGGAAUGUAUUGAGCCUCAGAGGAAGUUCACCACAGGAUGUGCUUCUUUGGAGACUGCUGGCUGCACACCUGGUGUCUCCUUCAGGAGCCAGACUGAGCUUACUUAGCUGGCUUCGGUCUCCAAAGCAUGGUCUUGAGAAGAGAAUAGGAGCCUUGCUGGCUCAAAACAAAGGUCCAGCAAAUUUAGUUUCCUGCAUCCCACCUGCUUUUGGGAAGUAUGCAACAAGAGAACGAAGGGAACAGCACUUGCCUGCUGUUGUUCCCAAGCAUCUGGUAUUCAGUGACAUAUUGCUUCUCAUCAUGAAAGUUCCAGAUGGCUAUCGUAGUUUGGGUAACGUUUAUUAGCUCUUAUCCAUUGAAUUGAUUUAAUCCCACCUUGUUCCUGCCUGAGAAAAAAACAAGACACGUUCCUUCAGCCCCAAGAACUUCCUGGUUGGCCAGAUCAAAAUCAGCACCAACGUUGAGGCGAUAUGCAUCUGGAUACCAGCUGCUAAGGAACAUAAGUGAGAGGAGGCUGUUACACUGUGAGAACAAGAUGCUGGAGAGGAUGGCCCAUUUGGUUUCAUCUAGUAGGGCUCUUGUGUUCUUAUAGUUAAUACCUGCAUGUUGCCAUUUUUAUGGGGAUAUUUCAUAAUAAACAUGCGUCUCUACCUCCAUCAUUCAGCCCGGACCACCUCUAAGGGUCUUCUGGCAGUUCCCUUACUGCGAGAAGUGAAGUUACAAGGAACCAGGCAGAAGGCUUUCUCAGCAGUGGCUCCCUCCCUGUGGAACACCCUUCCAUCAGCUGUCAAGGAGAUAAAGAACUACACACCUUUCAGAAGACAUCUGAAGGCAGCUUUCUAUCUGGAAGUUUUAUAUUUGACACUAGCUGACCCUGCCACGCGUUGCAGCGGCUUAUUAUUAUUAUUAAGGUGGAUUGCAAAUUCAAGGCGUUGUGUCCUGCCACAGCUUCUCUUUUCAUUCUUUAUUAUUAAUAUUUAAUUUCUAUACAAGCGUUCAUCAAAACUGUGGGAUUUAAUCCAUUGGCACAGUCAAAGGCAACAUUCCUUAUUUCCCUAGAGUUGGGCAGAGGCAGGGAGACAUCCAGUCAGUGUAACUUCCCCACAAAACUAUAUCCGGGUGGUUUCACAAGAUAUUUCCUGGCAGACCUGUUCUUCCUUGGCUGAAAACCAGGACCACAGCUUGCAAUAGUUCCAGAGGCCAAGGGUUGUUUUGCUCCAAGUAGACCCAUUGGAAUGAAUAUCCAUUCAUUUCAAUGGGUCUCCUCUGAGUGUGGCUAAUAUUGGGUUGAACCCCAAGCUUCUUGUCACAGUUGCCAACUCGGUCUCCCAUGUUUAGACCACCCUCUCCUGCUUCUUCGCUUGCGUCCCUGUGUGGGCUGGAAAGAAGAGACAGAGCUAGUCUUUCAUCUGGAAUUGUCUGGGAGCCACACCGAAGUAUGUUGGAAGUCUUGUGUAGUCACAGUUUUGCCAGUUCGGUAUAGAAUAGCUCCAGUGCUGGGGAUGUUCUACCUUCCAACAGUUCUCGCGGAAGGAAAACAAGCUUCUCUUCCAUCUGUGUAAACAGACGGCUCUGAGCUGGGCAGCUUUCUGUUCCAAAGAUCCUACAGUUUAACUGUCAACAAGGAGGGAAGACGAGGGACAACAAAUGCUGUUGUACACAUACACUUAGCUUAAUGAUGGAACAUAACUCUUUCUCCAGGCCAGCCGCCAGAGGAAAUGCAGUUCGCUCCUACCAGGAUGCACUUGCCAAUGGAUAACGCGAUGCAGAAAAGGAUACCCUGGGACUACCGACUGGUAUCUUUCCAAGCAAAUGGGGUGUGAGGGAGCAGUCACGAAGUUGUUAGGAUUUGGAAUGACUGGGUUCUUACUAUGAACUGUAUGUAAGUGUUUGAGGCAAGCGCCUUGGUCAUUGGAAUGGACGUCCGACGGGUCAUAGUAUUAAAUUGAGAAUAUUACGAAGAUACAGUAUGCACCAAUUGUGUGCCUGUGGGGCCUGCGUUCCUCGGGCUGAGGAGAGGACUCAGCAGGGCAGCUGCUGUGUUGGCAAGCGUUCGCUGAUUGUUGAAACCGACUUCAGCUUUUUAGAAUGGGUAUGUAAUUUACAGAACAAGACCCUGACUCAUACAGAGAGCAUGGUUGGAUCAGACCAAAGGCCUAUCUAGUCCAGCAUCUGUCAUCCCACAGGGGCUAACCAGAAACCUAUGGGAUGGCUAUAAGCAAGCCAUGAUGAGGGCAGUAACCCUCUUCGGCUGUGGUUCCCCCGCAAUCAGUAUUGUCUUCAGGUAGUGUAUAGCUAUCUUGACUUCUGGCCAGCCUUGAGUCUGAUUUGAAGAAUCUAUUUAGCAGGGGAUUGCCGAGACAGAAAAAAACCCUUGUGUGUGCCCCAAGGACAGGGCACAUGCAAUUUAAAUAUGACAUUUAAGAAGACGCACUGCAAGUCUGGCAGCUGGGGGAGAAGGAUACUGAUAAUUUGUGGGGGGCGGAAAGGGAACCAGACAUUGCUUCAUAACUGCUGGAUAAAGGUAAAGGGACCCCUGACCAUUAGGUCCAGUCGUGACUCUGGGGUUGGCCGAGGGAGCCGGCGUAUAGCUUCCAGGUCAUGUGGCCAGCAUGACAAAGCCACUUUUGGCAAACCAGAGCAGCACAUGGAAACGCCGUUUACCUUCCCGCUGUAGCGGUUCCUAUUUAUCUACUUGCAUUUUGACGUGCUUUCGAACUGCUAGGUUGGCAGGAGCUGGGACCAAGCAACGGGAGCUCACCCCGUCACAGGGAUUCGAACCGCCGACCUUCUGAUAAGCAAGCCCUAGGCUCAGUAGUUUAACCACAGCGCCACCUGGGUCCCAAAUAACUGCUAGAUAGUAGGUGGGGGAGUCUUACAACAAACCUGCUAUGUAUUUCACAAGUUAUUGCACUCAAUCACUUCCCCACUCAUCCACAGCACAGAACCCCCCCCCCUCCAGCCUUUCCCAGUCCUCUUAUUCAAUUAGUCCACUUCCUUCUUGCAGGGAACCCCCCACUUGUCUCUUAUCUGGAUUUGGCUUCAUAUGCAGCCGAAGAGGACUGGUUGGAAAUGGAAGCGCCUUGAGUGGCAAUAGCCUGUUCUCAGAUGGAAGCUUCCACUUGCUGGGCAAAUUCAGGUGCCACCCUGCACCCUUGAUCAUGUGCUCACUGUGUGUAAACCUGGAACAGCAGCCAGUCAAAGGGCAAGGUUUUACCGCACACGGCAAACAUGGGAAGAAAGGGAGAGCCAUGUGGUUGCUUGCCUCAGCGCUAUAAUUUCCAAGUGGCAUGGCAAGAAUCCACUUUCAUCUAGGAAAUAAAUAACACAAGCUCAGUCAUGAGCCAGAUUUGAACUUGAGGGGGGUAGAAAAACUGCAUACUCUUGACGUUGCUUGAAUUGUACUUGCCAGCCUGUUUUCAAUUCAUGCUGGUGAGAGUUUGUCCGUUUCUAGAGCAAAGGGCUUCACUAAAUAUGGUCUUCCUUGGGUGGUGUGUUGGAGGUGGCAGACAGAGGGCUAAAUUUAUAGUUGCAAAAGUUGGAUAGGAAUAAUACAUUAAAUUCUAAUACAUUAAAUUAAAUUGGAAUUGUGUUCCUGGCAGCUGGUGGAUAAAUUGUCUGCUGAAAAUACGUAAUUUCUGUAAAGCCAAUUCCAUUUGCUCUGCUAUCCUACUCUGGCUGAGGAGCGUGAGCUAUUAAAGACUUGCCCCUAAAGUACUUUCCUCUAAUUUUCCGGAGCCGGAGUGCUGCCAUUGGAAAUAAUGUUUCUCAGAGAAACUGUUCUAGGCUUCUUUGCUUGAUGCAUAUUCUUAACUGCCUAAUGGCAAUCAGUGCUCAGCUUCCUUCCUAAUUUCAAAUUAAAGCAAGACAACAUCUUUAAAUAAUCAACACUUUCCCUCUCAUUAGGCUUUCUGUCAAGUAGGUGCAUGGAACACAACCUUGUUCUAUUCCUGCAGCAAUCUUAACUUCACCUUUUGUUAGGGCAACUUCUUCUUAAAAUACAUUUGUGUGUUUGGGAGGCGAAUUCAAUCAACUGCCAAUAAGGCUGAGUUAAAGACUUCCUUUGAUGGCCAGCCACAUUCUGUCAUCAAUCUACAUUGUGGUAAUCGGUCAUUCUCUACUCCCAAACCUUGGAAUCCAAGGUAGCACUGUAAAAAUAUUUCGGUUCUUGGGGACUUAAGCAUCACAUUUUUGGGAGGCUGUUUGUCCUGGCACUCGUGAUACUUCAUCAGGGCUGAGAACAACACUUGUUCACAGCAUGUUGCAAGCUUUUUGUUGUCUUACUUAGGCAUAUCUGUGUUUGGGCAGGUGCAGAAUGGAAAUAAUUUUGUGUGUGUCUGCUAAGGUAAAUCAACAUUUUAUAACCGUAUGUUACUGGAGAGGGAAUCAUACAUGUGUGUUUGUGCCUCAACUCAUGAACGCUGUAUAUUUAUAGUGAGGUGAUUGCUUGGGUUGUAUAUAAAAAGGUAAAAGGUAAAGGACCCCUGGAUGGCUAAGUCGAGUCAAAGGCGACUCUGGGGUUGCGGCGCUCAUCUCGCUUUCAGGCCGAGGGAGCCGGCAUUUGUCCACAGACAGGUUUCCAGGUCAUGUGGCCAGCAUGACGAAACUGCUUGUGGCGCUACAGAACACUGUGACGGAAACCAGAGUGCACAGAAAUGCCUUUUACCUUCCUACCUCAGCGGUACCUAUUUAUCUACUUGCACUGGUGUGCUUUUGAACUGCUAGGUUGGCAGGAGCUGGGACAGAGCAACAGGAGCUCACCCCAUCAUGCGGAUUUGAGUCACCAACCUUCUGAUCAGCAAGCCCAAGAGCAGGGGUCAGCAAACAUUUUCAGCAGGGGGCCGGUCCACUGUCCCUCUCCGGGUCAUGUGGCCAGCAUGACUAAACCGCUUCAACAGUGCCCAACUUUCAUCACACACAACCAAGAAAGCAUAUGGUUAAGUUAUCUAGUCUGUAUUAAUUAGAAGGCUAAAUUAAAAUUUUUGGAGCUUGGGACACUUGUGUCCAGAGGCAGGAAUGUUCUAAAAUGAAGUCAGUUUUGUAACAAUUUUGAACUCACUGGAAAGGAACAGGCAGCAUAAGGUAAGUGGGUGUGUGUAGAACUCCUCUCUCUCUCUCUCUCUCUCUCUCUCCACUGCUCUGUGCUUCUGUGAGGCGAAGCAGAACUAAGUCUGGGUGCAGGGUGAAGUCCAGACUGGUUACAGGGUCUACUGAAACAAAGUUAGAUAUAGAAGGGUUCAGACUGAAUUUGGGUGCGCAGACUGUGCUCUACGAACACAAAGCUCUUUCGUUGUUUCCACAGGGAACAAGCUGAGCCUCGGCUCUACAUAGUAGCAUCAUAGCCAAUGGCAGAUUUAGAGGUAUGCACAGAAUUAGGGCCCCCUGUGGCUGAGUGCCCCCCCCAAUAGUAGUAUGUAGGUGGUGACCAUUUUGUGUGUGGGGGGGGUGUUGUUCUGUUCCUGGUCCCCUUGCACGUUGGCAGAGCAUGCAUGAGCCCGCCCCAUUAUGCCCUGCCCCUCUUCCUGCCUUCUUCAGACCCACAUCAGACAUGUGCAAAAUUGUCACCACCUGCAUAUUGUUAACGGAGAGGUUACCUUUGAAAGAUGACUACAAAUAAUGAAUUGCCAUGGUUGAAUUUUGGUAUUUUUGUUGCGUUGUUUCUGCCUCUCAUUUCUCCUACUCCACUCAUUAAGGUCAACGGAGGUUGGCCCAUUGGGCUACCAGGCCACACAGGUUGUCUAGCCCUGUGUGGCCUGUGUUUGAGCCCUCACCUGAAAGGAAUCUGACUCCUGGUCCCUGCCAUGGUGCACCAAAGGGAAGUGAGGACCUAUCCAUGGGUCUGUUGCUGCAGCAAUUAUUUUUAGCUUUUGCUGUUGCUUGCAUUUCCUGAAACUGCUCUGUGUUUCAAGUGUGUUUCAAGCUGCUUCAAGUGUACUUUAUCUGAAGAAGUGUGCAUGCACACGAAAGCUCAUACCAAAAUAAAAACUUAGUUGGUAUUUAAGGUGCUACUGAAGGAAUUUUUUUAUUUGAAAAUAUGGGUUUCACAUCCUAACAGUGCCCCCCCCCCCCGACUGCCAAACACGUUUGGGAGAUGCAUCUUAGUGUCACUGUUCAGCUUGAGAGGCAAGUGUUCUCCCAAUUCAUUCCUCUACCCCUUUCCUCCCGGUUUCCUUUUGCUCCUACUGAUUCUGAAAAAGUAUCUUCUCAUCCCCUGUGGUGACAAACAGAAGAUGUACUAUUUUCUCAACCUAGUUUCUCUUAAGGUGGCAAAUGGCAGGAUGUGCCUGUAAAGUAAGAAAGGUUCUGUUCUCAGAAGUCUCCCUCUUGCUUUGAAUUUCUCCUUCUUGCCAUUGUUUUUGAUUGGCUGUGCAAGGAAAGGAUGGCCAGACCUGGCUCUGCAUGCUACCCAAAGGGCCAGCUGGAAACCUUGUCUCUUGUUGUCCUUUUUGAGGCUUGACUGGGACUGUUGUAAAUCCAAGCCUUGGCCCUGAAUCAGUGUCAGGCUUGCCUUUUGCAUAUCCUAGGGCUUUCUUUUUAUUUUUUCCUUUCUUUUUAAAUGUCUGCUUCCCUUCUCCGAUUCUUCCUUCACUCCCCACCAGCACCACAUCAGGCUGCAGGAUCUAAGUGCAGCCGUGGAUUAAUGUGUUCUUGCAUUUUUCUAAUCUUCAGGAACAGCACGUUCCUAAAAAAAAAAAUUGGAAAGAGCCAAGAGCAACUAAAUGCAGUUGUGUGUUGUGACAAUGCAAGCAGCAGUGUGGUCCUGAGAAUCUCCAUAGAUGUUGUCAGAUGAUGUGGCACCUAAAAGGGAGUUAGUCUUUUCCCCCCCUGUACAAUCAUGACAUCAAUUCGCAGGUGUGUAGGAGAAAAACACAAGUGCAAUAUGCAAAUAAAUGAGCAUGUUGUUAUAAGGGGUAGUGUGGGGGUGGGGAAGCAAUCCUGUUUAGAAAUUUCUCUCCCGUUUGUUUUUGUUUCUAAAUUUCUGGUUAUUUAAGGCUCAGCGUACCAGCUUCCCAGUUCUUGCUGUUGUUUUUGUGAUGGGUGAGGGAAAUGCAACCCACAGCCUCUUCCUGUAACCUACUUAUGAGCACCUGCUUUGUUCCACAGCCUGCUGCUCUUGACAGUUGGCCCCCAAACCACAAAUGUUUUCAUAUUUCUGUGUGUGCAGAUGUAGCAAAAUGAAUGCCAGUAUUUGGCCCAUUUCCUUCUUUGGAUGCUUAGAUGAGAGACUUCUCCAUUCUUCAGACUUCUUUCUGCAUCAUUACCUGCCACGUGUGGGGAAAAAAAAACUUUGCAUGGGUAGUUUUGAGGGUUACAAAGGAUUAUACGGAAGAGGACCAAAUAUUUGUAGCAAGUAUAACCUCUUGUUUAACCGUUUUAAGUUGAUCAGGCCUCAAAGUUGAAUGAAACAUCUUUGGGUCAGAGGGCACUAUAAAUCUAGGCUGUCAGUUUAUGCUUGGAAGUACAUAUGGUGGAAGCAUCCAUGUAUUUAUAUAUAGGUGGAUAUUUAUAACUCUCUUCCUCUUUAUAUAACCCCAGUGGUAUUGAAAACCUUUUGUAUACCAGAGUCUUUGUGUACACAAUAGCAGCUGUAGAGCAUGUUGUCUUUUGUGCAGAAUAAUUCGAUGGCUGGAUUCUCCCCCUCCUUCCUUCCAGGCGUCAAAAGACCACAAAAUGGUGACUAGCUUUCAAUGGUACAAGUACUGCUGUAGCAAUUUUCAUAAGCAAAUGCAACCUGCCAGUUUCCUUUCUAUGAAAUAAUAGCAUUUGAUUAUGAGACCAGGAACAAAUAUUACUGUACUUUGAAUGCUGUUUGUUUGCUUGUUCAUAAAGUAUCUAAAAAUCUAUGCAUUCUGCAUAUGUGCUUUAAGAAAUUCCCUGUCUUGGGGUGAGUAGCAAAGUAGUGCUUUGUUGAGAGUAAGGGUGGUACAAUGCUUAGGAUUUCAGUCUAGGACAGGAGAGUUCUGGGUUCAAAUCCCUACACAGCCAAUAAGUUCACAGGGUGAUCUUGAGCUAGUUAUCAACUUUGCCAAACAGGUUUAGGGUGUGGCUGUGUGACAAGCAGGAAGGGGAAGGCAUAAUACUCGCAUUUCAAGACCAAUCACCUUUCAUGGCACAUAAUAAUCCUUUUUUUAAUUAGAAGGGGGUGUUCAGAAGCAGAUUGUGUUAUACAGUAGCAUUAUAGGAAGAGAUAUCUGCUGUUCAAAAGGGGGAGGAGUCAAAUAUUACAAACAUUAACCUAUAGACCUGUCUAAAAUAACUCUUUAGCUUCAGGCCAAUAACCUUAUUUAAUGUGAAAUAUUUGGAGGUGUGGAAUGUUGCCUAUAACCAAAAACAAACAUGUUUUUAAAAGACUAAAUUUGUCGCUCCUUGCCAAACUUUUUUUUUAAAAAAAUCUGUGAAAUGUGAACAUCAAGCAAUGUCAUUCACAAUCUGUUAUCAUUUAGUGAGCAUGUGCCAUUUUAGAAGCCUUCAGCAUUUUCCCCAUCCUAGUUUAAUCACAGGUAGUAAGUAGCUGCUUAUAGGAGGGCAAUAUUCUGCAUUGUGAUUGCAGGUGUCGCCGUGUUGAUUGUCUUGCAUAUUCAUGUAUCUUUAGGAACAGAUGGAACCACAUAAUAUCCAUAUUUGAUGAUCUGGUGGGAUUUGCUCAGCCUAAGCUCACAUUUACAUUUUGAACUCUGAAGGAGAUGUGUUGGCAAUUUAAUCAGGCAAGGAAAGCCUUGGAGUUGCUUCUGUCGCUCCUCACCAAGUUUUUGACAUUACAGUAGAUGAGAUGGCGAAACUUGUGUCUGAACUGUACGGAUUGAAAUUGCGGACUCACAACUGAGAAUCAUUCUCCAUGGGGGAAAAGGAACCUUGUACAUUUAAAAAGCCUAGCCUUCUCUCUACAAAUAUCUUUUCCACAUACGCUUGCCCCCAACGAACACCCCCAUUCCAAAGCAACUAUUUGCCCCACAGGGGGAAAUGUGCAAGUAUCACAUGGGUGCCUGGGAACCCCCCC